GAUGAACGCUGGCGGCGUGCCUAAUACAUGCAAGUCGAGCGAACGGACGAGAAGCUUGCUUCUCUGAUGCUGGCGGCGGACGGGUGAGUAACACGUGGAUAACCUACCUAUAAGACUGGGAUAACUUCGGGAAACCGAAGCUAAUACCGGAUAAUAUUUUGAACCGCAUGGUUCAAAAGUGAAAGACGGUCUUGCUGUCACUUAUAGAUGGAUCCGCGCUGCAUUAGCUAGUUGGUAAGGUAACGGCUUACCAAGGCAACGAUGCAUAGCCGACCUGAGAGGGUGAUCGGCCACACUGGAACUGAGACACGGUCCAGACUCCUACGGGAGGCAGCAGUAGGGAAUCUUCCGCAAUGGGCGAAAGCCUGACGGAGCAACGCCGCGUGAGUGAUGAAGGUCUUCGGAUCGUAAAACUCUGUUAUUAGGGAAGAACAUAUGUGUAAGUAACUGUGCACAUCUUGACGGUACCUAAUCAGAAAGCCACGGCUAACUACGUG
rnacentral:rRNA from 1 species